AAUGAACGCUGGCGGCAUGCCUAACACAUGCAAGUCGAACGAAGGCUUCGGCCUUAGUGGCGCACGGGUGCGUAACGCGUGGGAAUCUGCCCUUGGGUUCGGAAUAACAGUUAGAAAUGACUGCUAAUACCGGAUGAUGUCGUAAGACCAAAGAUUUAUCGCCCAAGGAUGAGCCCGCGUAGGAUUAGCUAGUUGGUGGGGUAAAGGCCUACCAAGGCGACGAUCCUUAGCUGGUCUGAGAGGAUGAUCAGCCACACUGGGACUGAGACACGGCCCAGACUCCUACGGGAGGGAGCAGUGGGGAAUAUUGGACAAUGGGCGAAAGCCUGAUCCAGCAAUGCCGCGUGAGUGAUGAAGGCCUUAGGGUUGUAAAGCUCUUUUAACCGGGAUGAUAAUGACAGUACCGGGAGAAUAAGCGCCGGCUAACUUCGUG
rnacentral:rRNA from 1 species